AGUAUUACUUGAACAGCCAAUCGUAGUGGAAACUACUAGAAAAUGAAUGUAUGCAAUAAACAAUCCUCCAGAUCCUAUGUGUAGUCAAUCAAAGACUGCUAAACAGUUCUCAGAUAGAAAUACAGCCACCUCCGGAGUAGAAUCAAGACAGCAUCUGAUGCUAGUAUAUCAUCAAGUAUUGCAAGGAGAAAGAAAGGAGAAUCUAUAGUAAAGUCCACUGGAACAAUUGCUUAAGGAAGACAGUUCAAAGGAAUUUAUUGGAGCCUUCCCAAGGCCCUUGAUGGAUGUCAGACACUUCUUGUGUGCUAUCCCACUUCUGCUCAGUCCACCAUAUACUGCAUCCUUCACUCUAUCAACCGGCUUCACAAAGAUAACUCUACUGCAUCUUUAUCAGCUGCACCAUGUGUCAAUAAGGGUCUGUCCUGGACCUUCUGAGAUGCUGCAGCGUGGGCUCUCCAUAGGAUCCAGCUUGGCUCUGACCCAUGAGAGGAUGGAUGGAAGAGUCUAUGGUGGAAAGAAGCAUACCAUGUAACCAAUCCAGGAACUGGCUUUAAUGCUGAGCAUUAGAGAUAUUACCAGGCUGGAUGAGAAGAAGUUGUAGUCUCUUGGACCUAACGGGAGACAGAGGUAUCAAGAGGCUUUUCAUGUUUCUGCUGCCUCUGGGAUCUCUGCCAAACGAGAAGCUGGAGGAAGAGAGCCCAGACUCAGGAGAAGGUGGGGUCGUCCUUGCUUAUCCAUCCCCCAGCUGACCUGCAAACACAUGGAAAAGCCCACAAACAUCCACAGAUUUAGCCCAGUCUACAACGGCCAGCUGACCUUCAGACUCGAAACUUGGAGGUCCCACCAAGAUCAGCCACAUGGAAUUCACUUACUAGAUAUGACUAAAUACUCUUUGGGUGUAAUAACACAGAGGUACCUGCUCUCCACUGACAGCAGGAAUUAGUACGCAGAAUUUAAGCUCCAUUGAUCCAGAGUGAUACCUGGCUUGAUCGAGCAGUUUAUUAAUUGCCUUCCCUUCCCUCUUUUGUUGGCUCACAGUCUUGGGAGUUCCCAGGAGAAAUCUGAAGCCGCCCAGUACACAGAGGUCAGGGAGACAGGGAAGACAGAGGGAGGCCACUCCGGACUAGUAGGUGGCAGGUCGAACAGGCAAGGGAAUUUACUUACGCGGCUUGCGUGCGUUCGCGGUAAGACAAGUCGAUCUCUGCAGCCACCAGCCAGAAUCUUAAAAAUUUAUACAGAAGCUUGACCAGAGUUCAGUCUCAUGCAGCAUGUCGGGGAGCAGACGUGACCACAGAGCAAGCUGGAGGCUCCUCUCCCCACCCGCAUCUCUGCGACGUGGGUUCUGCUCGCCUUUCCUGCUCUCACACUGCUCGGAGAACGCAGCCUUGAGGGUGGUGAUGUGGUGUGGAGAACACCUGCUCGGUAGACGCGUGGCACCCGGGAAACCCUUAAACUUUUAAGAGUGGGCGGGCAGGUGUGUGGGUCUGGUGGUCUCGCUGCUCCACGCCCCCAAGGCAAGCUCAUUUGUACGUUUCCUUUGCUUGUGAACACUGCCCGCUCCCACCUUGGAGUGGCCCGCCUCUUUGCUCUGGUCUCUCCUCCCCCGGCCCACGGAGGAUUUCUCCCGGAAGGCUCAGGAGAGAGUUUUGAGAGAGGUCCCAACCGCGCGCUGCUCUCUCCAGGCUGCAUCCUUGAAGAGGGCGCCCGCGGUGGGAGCAGCGCGCAGGGGGACCUUCCGAGGCCCGGAGCGGGCGAGGAGCCCCCGACUGUCCGGACCCAGCGCGUGGGUCAGCCGGUGGUCACGGCCCCUCGAUGACCGCCGCCGCCGUGCAGCCCUCCUUCUCCGUCUGCUCCUCUUUUCCUCCACCUGCCGAGUAAGAGGCUUGGCCUUGCGUCUCCAUCUGGGCAGCGGCCUUGCGAGGAAUUCAGUCGCCAGGUGCAACUGGUCUUUUGCUACUCUGGGGCUUACAAAAUCCAGCCUUGCGGGUAAUUCUGGUUUCCAGGCUUGGAGUGAAUGACAAGAAAAGGAAAUGAAGUUAUGUUUUCCAUGAGAAAUAUGCCAAGAAGAGUUACUCUUCAAUGGGGAACCUACUCCCUGUAUGCCAGAGAAUGAACUCUGCUAUCUUAAAUUACUUACCGGAUCCUGCCAACAUCUGAGUGUGACUCCCACAUUUGUUAAUGAAGUGGGUCUUAGAAGUGUCAUUCUCCUGGGAUGGACAAAAGAGCUCUUUAAAAGCAAUACAAAUUAAGAAAAGUAGAAACAUGUGCAAAUAUGAUGGAUAAAAUGUGUAGUUUUAAGCUUUCUGUGUUACCAUUAUUUCUCUAGAUAGAAAAAAAAAAAAUAAGACCCUAACAAUUUCUUCUAAAUGUAGAAGGAAAAGGAAAAUAUGUUGAUUUUGAAGAAACAGCCAUGUGCUAUUUAUAAUGCCUUUUAAAAAGCAAGUGAGUUUCUGGAAUGUGCUGACUGCCUGUUUUUGGCAACUUCUCUUCUGCUCAUUAGCUAUUUCAUAUAAAGUAACAUGAGAGUCCCAGCUGUACCUAUUAAUUCAUUAGAGAACUGAUUGCAUUUUCAUUUUCACCUUUUUGAGCUAUCAGAUGCAUAUUUAUUCCUCAUAAAAACGUCUUCACUUGCCUACUUCACUUUCAGUUUUUAUUUUAAACAGCAAAAAAAGAUUCUUUUUUCUUUUAGAUGCAUUUUGACUUGCUACUUGCUCGAAUCAAAGGAGAGAGUUUUUGUUUUUGUUUUUUUUGCUUUCCUUUUUCUAUUUUCUAUCAAGUUCCAACAGUUGAUAACAAUUUUUCUUUUGAGAAAGGGAACAAUGUAUCUUUGGAUAUUUCUAUUUCCAAAUAAAAUGGAAUUUCUUGAACAUUUACCCUAUGAUUAAAAAAAUCUGAUAU